GCUUCUUUGAAUAUACCUGCUCCCUCCCAGAGUUUGAAGAAGGAAGUGGAAAUGUGAGAUGUGGCUGGUUCUGGGAUUGCAAGGUGGACCAUGCUGAUUGUUGUCACCUCAGCCCCUCGACAGUAAGGAAGCAAGUUUCUGGGCAUACACCAUGUUUCACAUCCUCUUCUGAAUGAGGCCAGACAUGGAUCAAAGUAGCACAACCCAACCCAUACCGAGGCCCGCUCCUGGUGCUGAGCCCUGUGACCCAGCUGUGCUCAGGGCUCAGCCCGGGUGAACUCAGGUGCUGGUGCCGGCUCCGGAUACGCGGGGAGCCCUGGAAAACCUGUGUGGAACCCCUGCUACUGCUGAGGACACGAGGGAAAGGAAUGAAGACUGCCUGCCUCUACCACAUCAUAUUUUCUGGUGGAUAGGAAGCAUCUUUGAAUAGGGAAUCAGAGAAUUUGUAAGGAUUGAUGAAAGAUUUUUACAGAAAAUUUUGAAUGAAACCUACUGCAAAAGCAGAGAAGACUGUCUUGAAACUCAGAGAUGGAUGGGAUAUAGCAGAUUUCUGCAUCUACGCUUCUUAUGUAAAAGCUGUAAAGAACAGGCAGUUGU